rnacentral:piRNA from 1 species
AACUGAGGAUUGAGGGUGAUGGU